AGAGAGAGACAUGCGCGCAUAUCAAUAAGCGGAGGAAAAGAAACUAACAAGGAUUCCCUUAGUAACGGCGAGUGAAGCGGGAAGAGCUCAAAUUUGAAAUCUUCAAGGUUUUACCUUGACGAAUUGUAGUUUAAAGAAGUGUUUUCUGCUGAAGUUUUGGUAAAAGUUCUUUGGAAUAGGACAUCAUAGAGGGUGAGAAUCCCGUAUUUGACCAUUAUUUUCAGCUUUGUGAUACACUUUCAAAGAGUCGGAUUGUUUGGGAAUGCAGUCCAAAAUGGGUGGUAAAUUUCAUCUAAAGCUAAAUAUUGGCGAGAGACCGAUAGCGAACAAGUACCGUGAGGGAAAGAUGAAAAGAACUUUGAAAAGAGAGUUAAACAGUACGUGAAAUUGUCAAAAGGGAAGCGUUUGACACCAGUGUUGCUUUCUCGAAAAUCAAUUAAAAAUGGCUCGAUUUUGUAUUGUUGAGACCUUAAAAGCUCACUGUACAUUUUUCGUGUCUUUUUUAAUGCACUUUUCGUUUAACAAGUCAACAUCAGUUUCUUUUGUUGUAAAAGGGGUCAUUGGAAGGUGGCUUUCUUUUCGGAGAAAGUGUUUAUAGCCUUUGGCCUCUGCAAUCGGAGAGACUGAGGUCUGCAGCGUAGACUCUUCGGGGUUAGAUACAUUUGUGCUAAGUUAUAGCUUUUUAUAGACAACUUGUUGACUAUAAUUAGUCUUGUAGCUUACUCGCUUAUGCUAUUUUACCUACGCUUAGGAUGUUGAAGUCAUCGUAUCGCGC
rnacentral:rRNA from 1 species